rnacentral:rRNA from 1 species
CACGCCGUAAACGAUGAAUACUAGGUGUAGGAGGUAUCGACCCCUUCUGUGCCGCAGUUAACACAAUAAGUAUUCCGCCUGGGGAGUACGGUCGCAAGAUUAAAACUCAAAGGAAUUGACGGGGGCCCGCACAAGCAGCGGAGCAUGUGGUUUAAUUCGAAGCAACGCGAAGAACCUUACCUAGACUUGACAUCCCCUGAAUUACUCGUAACUGAGGAAGCCCUUCGGGGCAGGGAGACAGGUGG